rnacentral:tRNA from 1 species
GCCCGCGUAGCUCAGGGGUAGAGCGCAUCCUUGGUAAGGAUGAGGCCACGGGUUCGAUCCCCGUCGCGGGCU